GCUCAAUGAAAAGAAAGCAGCCGCCCAAUGGCAAGAAGGAUGGCAAGUUCUGAGGGUGUUGAUGGCAAGAUUAUGCAUACUUCACAAAGCAUCUUCCCCUUUUAAUUUUCUUUUAUUGAGCUCAUCGAUUCUGAGAUUGUUUCUCUCCCUUCUCUCUUCUCUCGUCUAUGCUCUCUCCUCUCACAACUCUUACGAGUGUCGCUCUGUUGCUCGUCUCUCUUUACGUUGCACGAAUCUCUCUUUAGCUCAUUCGCUCAAAAGGUGAAGCUAGUCUUCUCCUCGCAGAUUUGGAGCUUCUAGGUAUUGAUUUUAACUUUUUAAAAUUAUUUUCAUUUGAGUGUAAUUUGGGGCUGAUAAUUCCAGGGAAGAACCGGAGAGAAAUCUUUAAGUACGUCUUUCAAGAGGGAAUGUGGUGUGCAAAGGACAUCCAUAAUGACGCAUGUUGGUCCCAGCAAUGCUUUCUUUUGCCUGGGGGGUUCCCUUUGUGCUCGUUUUCUCAGGUUUGAUGCAUCUUAUAUAUGUACAUCUCUAUCACAUGUAAUUUGGUUGUGUUUAAUUCAUCUUCAAAGAAGUUUUACCUGCAAUUGGAAAUGGUUUCUGCUAGUGCUUGGGACUUCAAUCGAAUGCAAUAAUAUCAAUACUUUUUACUUCUUUCUUGAUCUGGAGCCUGAGGUAAUCCCGACUUCCCCUUCGAGACUGCCUCUAACUUAUCUUGGAUAUCUCUGUUGUACAAAGAUCUUCAAUUUUUGUGGAUUUUUUUUCCUUAUUUUGUUAAAUUUAAUGUUAAUGUCCUUGUUAUAUAUCUGAGAUUAUGUUAAAAAGAGCUCGCGCUAAUUGUUGUAUGUGGAAAAGGGCUCGAGCCUGUUCAGUCAGAAACUGUUUUUGUUGUAUUAUGUUUGUAAGUACUUUAAGAAGCCACUUUGCUUCUUAUAUUUGUACGGCUGGUUGAUAUUAUCAGCCUUUCCCCAGAAGACAACUCUUCUAUAUAUGUAUCAAGGAAAGUAGAUUAUCAAGGUAGGAAAAACAAGUCUGGUCCCAGAAGCAGAAGCCGACCUUUGAGUUCACCAUCACUGUCUUUUUUAUCCUCUUCUGGUGUUUGCAUAUUGAUCUCUUAGUGCUGCUAGUAUUAUAAGAAAGUCCAACAUGUUUCUCAUUCUGAAUAUGUUACAGCCAAUGUGCAGCUAGUGUUGUUAAUUUGCAUGUGUUACGAAUAUGCAUGGGUUUUUUGGUCAAGAAUAUAGCGAAGUUUUGAGUGUUGACUUGUAGUGGGUUUGCAGGUUAUCAAUAUGGCUGCUUCUUCCUCUGCUGCUGCAAUCCCACCUCAGUAAAAGUAUAAUGUGUUUCUUAGUUUCAGAGGUGAAGCCAUCUUUAUGCUGCUUUAUGCGCAAAGAAAAUCAAAACCUACAUAGAUGACAUACUUGAGAGAGGAGAGCAAAUUGCACCUGCCCUUCUCGAAGCAAUUGAGACAUCAAAGCUUUCAGUGAUCAUUUUCUCGAAAAACUAUGCUUCAUCCACAUGGUGUUUGGAUGAACUAGUGCAUAUACUGCGAUGCAAGGCAAGAGGGGGACAGUUUGGUCUACCGAUUUUUUACUGCAUCGACCCAUCACAUGUUCGAAAUCAGCAGGGAAGUUAUGCAUAUGCAUUUGCUCAACUUGAAACUUCAAGGACAGAACGGGGGAAGUUAUGAAGGUGUGCAAGUGGAGAGAUGCUUUGAAGGAAGCAGGCAAUAUGGCUGGGUUUGAUAAUUCAAACAAAACCGGGUAACGAACUCUGCUAUUUCUACUUGUGACCAUUUAAUUCAAACAAGAUUCCUUAAGGCUAAACAAUUGUUUGCCCUCAUAAUUGUAGAACUGUAAGUAGUGAGCUGAUUAGUAUAGUCUAAGCCUAGAACGAUAAUUGCGUAUGCACUUAGUCUCUUAGAAUGACAUGUGUAAGGCUCCAAAAUGUAAGGCUGAAAUAGCCACAUGUAGUGAUCCUAGAAUAGCUAGAUUUGUGGCUGAGAUUCAAUAUGUUGUGUGUGAAUCAAGCUAAGGCUAACGGUUAUGUAGUACACGCCUUGUAUGCUCAUUCUGAUAGAAGAUAUCUAAAUAUAUUCCUCUCUGCAAUUUCAGUAAGAGGGAAGCAGAACAUUUCAUCACUCGGCAUUUCUUCAUUCUUCUAUUCAUUCUCUUCAACAUUCCAUAACUCAGCUAAAAUACAAAACACUAACAAUAAUCAUAUUUGCCAGGACAAGGGCCAAUUUCGUUGCGAAUGUUGUCGAAUAUAUUUUGACCAAAUUGAAUCGCAAAUUGUCAAGUGAUUUAAGGGGCCUAGUCGGAAUUGAAUGGAAAAUUGAGCAAAUAGAAGGGUCAUUAUGCAUUAAUUCACCAGAUGUUUUAGUGCAGAAGCUUGAGAACUUAAAUAGUGAUGGAUCUUAGUUUCUCCACUUAUCUUGUUGAAGUCCCAGAUCUCUCUCAAAGUCGAAAAUUGGUGCAUAUAAAUCUUUUUGGCUGUACAAGUUUGGUUCAAAUGCCUUCGUAUUUUCAGUGUCUUGACAGGCUCACUCAUCUUGACCUGGGAGAAUGCUCGAAUCUCAAAUAUCUUCUGCAGAUGCCAAGUAACAUUGAAUUCUUAAAUUUGUCUAAAACUGCAAUAAAUAUGAAAGGUAUGUAAUAAUAUGAUAUCUAUAUAUUACAUAACCAAAUAUUUUUCAUGAACUAGUUCCUUCGAUUCUGCUUGAAAAGAGUACAUCUAGAGCAUGUUCUUUGUUUCAGUUACAGCCCAUGAGUUAGUUGACUUUUUUUAAAACCUAUAUGUAAUAUCAAAAUGUCAUAUCACUAAUGUUUCAUAUGUUUUUUACUGGCAGGCACAAAUCUAAUUUCAUUCAUAAGAUUGUUGAAGAGAUUUCAACACAAGUAUUAAACGCACCUAUUUGACUGUAACAAAGAACUCGUGUACAAGAUAUGAAAGAGCUUUUGGCCGUGUUUGGUGGGUUAGACUGGACAGGAUAUAUCCAAUUAAAAUGGACAUGGAUCCAAUCUGUUGUUUGAUUUCAUUCUCUAGUGGGUUUUCUUCUAUUUCCAGAGUUGAGCCCAUCACAUUUCAACAAUUGUUCGCAUGAUAGGUAUGGGGGGAUUGAAGGAAUAGGCAAGACAACAAUUGUUAAAGCUGUUUAUGAUUCAAUUGACUAUAAAUUUGAAGGUA